UUAAGGUAACAGACAUAAACUUAGAGAUACGCAUCAGCUUCAAAAGGAGUGAGACUAGGUGCGUCAAAGCCAACAAGUCGACAAGGGACAUUAAUUGAGUAGUAGUUGCUCAUUCUUCCAAUGCACAUAGGGACCUCAGUAGGGUUCCAUCAGGGCGCAGGUCACUUAAAAUGGUCGAAUGUUUGUAAGGGUCACAGAUCCUUUUAAAUGAGACAAAAGUUACAGGCUGUGAAACUACAUUUUUCCUCAAGCACAAAUUAAUAUACUUGUUGCUAUGUUCGGAUUUU
rnacentral:lncRNA from 1 species